rnacentral:rRNA from 1 species
UACAGAGGUCCCGAGCGUUGUUCGGAUUCACUGGGCGUAAAGGGUGCGUAGGCGGUCGGGUAAGUCUGAUGUGAAAUCUCACAGCUUAACUGUGAAACUGCAUUGGAUACUAUUCGGCUUGAGGUCUGGAGGGGGGACUGGAAUUCUCGGUGUAGCAGUGAAAUGCGUAGAUAUAGGGAAGAACACCAAUAAAGGCGAAGGCAGUUAACUAUUCUAUUCCUGACAUUGAGGCAUGAAAGCGUGGGGAGCAAAACGG